GCCCCCGAGCGCUGCUGACAUUGAGACCUGGUGGCAGCCUCACAGGAACAAAACAUUACCCUUUCAUUUGUACUGCCUCCUUCCACACAAGUGCCCCUUUGGCCAAAGAAGAUUAUUACCAGAUAUUAGGAGUGCCUCGAAAUGCCAGCCAGAAAGAGAUCAAGAAAGCCUAUUAUCAGCUUGCCAAGAAGUAUCACCCCGACACAAAUAAGGAUGAUCCCAAAGCCAAGGAGAAGUUCUCCCAGCUGGCAGAAGCCUAUGAGGUAAUAUGACUUCGGUGCAUGCGGUCACUGCUGUUCAGCUAUGUGUAUGAAUCAAAGGUUGCAUUGCUACCUGGGACAGCCUGGUGUGUCAUACAGUCCAGUGUGAAGGCCAUGUCCCUGCACCAAGUCAUCCUGUUAAA
rnacentral:sRNA from 1 species